rnacentral:lncRNA from 1 species
UGCCCAUUAAGCAAGAAGAUACUGAAGUGUAAGAAGUCCUGCAGAACUUACAGUCUACUUGUGGCUGAGAUGCAAUAAGCAAAUGACACAAGGAAGGAAGGUGGGAGGAACGGCAGGGAUAACAAAAACAGGAUUGCGUGGUUAUAUAGAUGAUGUAUGUGGGUAGACUGUGGUUCUGAAUCACAUGCAGAAGGGACACCACUGAAAUCCAAAGAGCUGACACAGCGUUGCUCAUCCUGGUAAAGCAAGGCUCCUGUGGACAGCAGAGGCAGACACCCGGAGCAGGGGCCUGGUAACACAUCUCAGGAGAGCUGCAGGAAGCUGGCGGUGAUUCCCCUGCCUCAUAAUGAUGCUGUGUGGGACCUGGGAAGAAAGGAAGGCUUCCAAAUCAAAUAGUAGCUUUCCAUGAAGUCUUUUGGGGGCCACUCCUGACAUGAAAGAGAAAGGAGGCAGAGUACCAAAUGACCUUUAGUUUUUUGGCUUGAGACUUGUGUUCCUGUUGCUGUCUUUAUGAGCUGAUGGAAUAAAGUCAAUGUUGCCUUUGAUGUGUGCCAAGAUACUAUCGGUGAUGUAUGCAGUAAUUCAUUCAGUGGGGAGUAGAUACUAGGCUAGGAACAAUUUCGCCCGUCUGCACUGUAACUGUAAAAUGGCAGCCACCUCACACUUCUGAUAUUUUACGUAUGGUGUUUUGUCAACAUUUGCCUAUGCAAUGCUUGCAUAAAGGUGGACUUAUCUUGAUGUGUGAAGCCAUUUGAAACCCUCAUCAGGAAGUUUUAUAUCCUUACAUAAUCCCUGGCUUCCAUGGCAAUCUUCGUUACUGAAACUCAUUCACUAAGAGACACAGCUGGUCAUGGCCCAUUAGGAGGAGCACGCAGGCACCGCAUCAGUUCCAAAGGGCUUUGUCACACCAGGUUUGAUAUGAGACAACGCACAGAGACAUGCUGUCAAACAAGGAAGAAGCAGAGGCUGUGUAAGUCAUGAAUUCAUCAGAUUCAUCAGAUCCAUAGCUACUCUACUACCAGCCUUCACCAAACAAGAAAUCAUUUCAUCUUCCUGCAUCUUUGCAUCACGAAGUUUCUG